rnacentral:rRNA from 1 species
AACGUAGGAGACAAACGUUAUCCGGAGUUACCGGGCGUAAAGGGCUCGUAGGCGGCCGCCUAAGUCAGACGUGAAAUCCCUCGGCUUAACCGAGGAACUGCGUCCGAUACUGAAAGGCUUGAAUCCGGGAGAGGGAUGUGGAAUUCCAGGUGUAGCGGUGAAAUGCGUAGAUAUCUGGAGGAACACCGGUGGCGAAGGCGGCAUCCUGGACCGGUAUUGACGCUGAGACGCGAAAGCGUGGGGAGCAAACAGGG